CAUUUCACUGCUGCACUCCGGCCAUCUCAGACGCAGUGCCUCAUCAAACUCGAACACACGAAGUCCUACGCAACAUACGCAGAACAGCGGGUCUACACACAUAGCAGUAGCAAAAAGACGACGCCCUUCUUCGAUCGCCACAUCCGCCGCCUCCUCACUGCCUUCUCGCACGUCCCUCCGCCCUCCCGCGCAGACAAGAUGGCAGGUGCAGGUAAGAAGCGCUCUCGCGCUGCACAGGCAGAAGCGGCGCCGGCAGCUGAGGCUGCACAGCCCCAAGUGGAGCCCCCGGCUGACAUGGCGGACUCCACCAAGGCGAUGGUGAACCGCGAGGAAGAGAUGGUCGGCCAGCUGCACGUGCAGCGCGCGCAGACGACAAAGAAGAUGACGAACCGGCAGAAGAUGCUGGUUCUCGGUGCCCGUAGCAUGACGAGCAAGGAUCGCCACCUGCUGCUCGACCUGCGUGGCCUCAUGCCGCACUCCCGCGAACAUCCGAAGAUUGGACGCACGAACACCCUUGGCGAUGACCUCAUCGAGCUGUGCGGACUACAUCAAUGCAAUAGCGUUAUGUUCGUCGAGCCGCAUCGCAACGAUGUCAGUUACCUGUGGAUCGGACAGGCCCCCAGCGGUCCGAGCAUCAAGAUGCAGAUAAACAACGUGCACACGGCGGACGAGAUUCGUAUGGCGGGCAACUGCCUCAAGUACAGUCGUCCGCUUCUCCACUUCGACCGCGACUUUGAGCUACACCCGCACCUGCGUGUGGCCAAGUCGUUGCUGCACAUGGCCUUCAACACGCCCCGCUACCACCCCAAGUCAAAGCCGUUUGUAGACCGCAUCAUGUCGUUCCUGUGGCUUGACAACCACAUUUGGGUGCGUAACUAUCAAAUCGUGCCAACGAGCCCGCCGUCGCUGAUGGAGAUCGGGCCCCGCUUCACCUUGGAGCCGGUGGCAAUCUUCAACGGAUGCUGCAAGGGAAGCGUGCUGUGGAAGAGCACGACGGCGCGGCCACCAACGGAGCAGCGCCGCGACCGCAAACUGCGUCGCCUCGAGAAGCAGCAGGUCAACGAGGUGAUCAAAGAGAAGUCCGAGAAGCACAAGGCGCUGCAUCCGGCACCUAGCGCCGACCCGCUCGACCUCGUCUUCCGCGACUGAGCAUAAGAGAAGGAUAAGGGCUGGAAACCGGCAGCGGCAUCGUCGCCUCACCUCCUUUGCCGGUGUCUAAUAAGCAUGUGCGUGUAAGCCACGCAGCGAACCGCAGCGUCAUCAAUACGCAUGCGUCGGCGUGGCAGCGCCUAUGCCUGCAAUUGUCGACGAAACGUUAUCCGCUGUUCUGUGCGAGUGUUGGUGUGCGGAAGCGUAUCUUCGGAUGAGUGGGCCACUGCUUUCCUGUGCGCGGGCCAUCGCCCCUGCGCAGGCUACACGCACACCGCCGCUCAAACUGCAGUGCACGGCCUCAGGCAAAAAG
rnacentral:misc_RNA from 1 species